UACGGAGGGUGCAAGCGUUAUCCGGAAUCACAGGGUUUAAAGGGAGCGUAGGUGGCCUUAUAAGUCAGUGGUGAAAUCUCUGGGCUUAACCCAGAAAUUGCCAUUGAUACUGUAGGGCUUGAGUACAGUUGCUGUGGGCGGAAUAUGACAUGUAGUGGUGAAAUACAUAGAGAUGUCAUAGAACACCGAUUGCGAAGGCAGCUCACAAAACUGUAACUGACACUGAGGCUCGAAAGUGCGGGAUCAAACAG
rnacentral:rRNA from 1 species